ACGAAAAUACCCAGAUGCACAACUACACAUGCUGAUCAACAUUCCUGUAAAGUAUCAUGACUCUAGGUCAAAUACUUUUUGAGUUACGUGCGACACAAGUUGAAAAUUACAAAAUUUUACUAAGUCAAGGGCAAUAACUCUAAAAAUACUUAUAAUAUCCAGACGAAAAUACCCAGGUGCACAACUACACAUACUGAUCAACAUUCCUGUAAAGUUUCAUGACUCUAGGUCAAAUACUUUUUGAGUUACAUGCGACACAAGUUGAAAAUUACAAAAUUUUACUAAGUCAAGGGCAAUAACUCUAAAAAUACUUAUAAUAUCCAGACGAAAAUACCCAGGUGCACAACUACACAUGCUGAUCAACAUUCCUGUAAAGUAUCAUGACUCUAGGUCAAAUACUUUUUGAGUUACAUGCGACACAAGUUGAAAAUUGCAAAAUUUUACUAAGUCAAGGGCAAUAACUCUAAAAAUACUAAAAAUAUCCAGACGAAAAUACCCAGGUGCACAACUACACAUACUGAUCAACAUUCCUGUAAAGUUUCAUGACUCUAGGUCAAAUACUUUUUGAGUUACAUGCGACACAAGUUGAAAAUUACAAAAUUUUACUAAGUCAAAGGCAAUAACUCUAAAAAUACUAAAAAUAUCCAGACGAAAAUACCCAGGUGCACAACUUCACAUGCUGAUCAACAUUCCCAUAAAGUUUCGUUGAAUUCCAGCCAUUAGUUGCAGAGAACUACUCCGGAAACGAAAUUCGGACGGACGGAUGGACGGACGUUCUAACAGGAGAGUAAUUAUGUGGCUACUCUAUUGUUCUCUCUAUUGUUCUUUUUAGCCACACAAAAGAAAAAAGCCACAUAAAAGCAUUACGGAAUGAAUGACAUCAAAGAGAAAGAACAGUUACCUAUUGUCCCUCUAGCCACAUAAUUACUCUCCUGUGAGUGCGGACGGACGGACGGACGAAUAAGGCGGCGACUAUAUGCUCCCCCGAAAUUUUUCGGGGAGCACAAUCAGUUUUUAUUUCUUAUAUAUAUUUUACAUGAUUGUAUUGUCUUUAUAUAGAAUCUCACCAGUCAUAGUUUUACAACCAAUCAUAAAAACCAGGACAAUUUUAAGGUCAAACAAUACAGUGUUAAAGCAGUAAGCAUAAACUCAUCAACAGAUCCCCAGGGCCAUUUUUUCUUCUAUAACAGGGGCCGAUAUAAGGCCCAUUCACAAUUCAAAAUUGCACCUUUUUUUCACAAAGCGGUGGAAAAAAAUUCACAAUUUCCAAAGAGAUUUCACAAAAUAUUGGGACUUUGUCUUCGAAAUACAUUGUUUACCUUUCGGUAAAACUUGAUUUACGCCAAUU